UCUUACUUAUGCUGAGGCUGGUGCUAGGGUCAGAGGAAUGAACAAAUGGCACUAAGGCAGCUUUGCUGCUGAAACUCCUGCUCCCCACCCCCAGCCGUCCUGCCCCUAUGCUGAGCACAACUGGACUGGACCAGAAAUGUACAGCUACUGAUUGUUACUCCUUGGUUACAGUCACCAAGAUCUGGAAUUGGUUUCUGUCCUCUUCUGAAACUAGGUAAAUCCAGGACUGCUGGGAUCCACCUUUGGUCAGUUUCAAACAUGGAAUUGGGCUUGGACUGGAUAGAUCAUUUCAUAGAGUAUCAUACGUUUUGUUCUAUAUUCUGAACUUAAAUGAAAAUGGUCCUACUCGAUGUUCUUCGUGUCAGUGUCUCUACAUGCCUUUUUUGUAACUCUCUCAGUUUAAAUAAAAUAAAUUCUAAUAAUGAAAUGA